rnacentral:lncRNA from 1 species
CUAAAUAGUUAUUGUGAGUUGUAAGCAUAAUAAUAUUGUAACUCUUCAUAUAUUAGGACAAAAACCAUACUACCAUCUUUACCCUCACAAUAAUACAUAGAAAUUCGUAGAUAACAUCAUGCCAAAAAUAUGUAUACUUUCCUACCGAACCUAGCCCAACGUACUACCAUCUCACCCUCACCAAAACACCUACCAUUGCUCCCUCCACUGCGACCUUCGUCAAUCAUCAUCGCCUACAGAUCCACUACCACAUACCCCUAUAAAACUCGAAAUCGAAGCUACUGCUCUUGCAUUAUAGCUCAAAAAAUUGGAAGAAAUCUACAGAAGGAAGAAAUUGAAUGCAUUAGAAUUAUAAUUACAGGUAUAUGUCUCAAUUCCAAUAGAUUUUUUUGAAUUUCAUUCAACAAUCGAGAAGAAAGAAGUAAAAUUUGCGUUAAUGGAGGGUUUUCCUUUCCUGAAAGUGGAUAGAAUGAAAGCUUUUGGUAGCACAUCGACUUUGGCCAUAGGGAAAAGAUAUACAAUAAGCAUACCAAGAGGCUAUUAUGUCCUUAGUGCAAGAACUAAUGGGAAAUGAAAAAUACUUCAUAAAUGAACAGUGGAGGAGAAUUUCCUCUUUUAAGAGGGUAGGGAUAAUAAAAGUAGGAAUUUACAAUUUUACAAACAAAAUUUUUAAUUGGCAAUAAUUUUAUUCUUUAUAUAGUUUUCAACGUAAUCAUCCGUUGGAAAAUUCAUUAGUGAAUUAUUUUAUUUGUUUAUUUUUAUAUUUUACCAACGGAUUAGCAACAUACUUUUAUCAACGAAAGACUUUUACUGGUAAUUUUGUUGGUAAUUUAAUAUAUAAUUUUUUAAAAUGAUAAAAUAAUAAUCCAUUGCUAAUUUUUUAUUAAUCCGUUGGUAGUAGCAAUGAAAUAUGUUCGUUGCUAAAAUUUCGCCUCUAUUGCCUCUUUUUCUAGUCUUGGAACACACAAUAGGGAUGUUAUUUCAAUCGCAAAGGCCAAAAAAUUGAUAAGAAAGGCAUAGCAAAGAGAGCACGAAGCAAGUGUCUAUUUUAACUAAAAGGAGAAGACAAAGAAAUAACAUACACAGUUAUAGCCAAAGGGAGGCAGCAUAUAUAAGAUACAAUUAAGGUGUAAUAAUGGGACGAUGCCUAAUAAGUGUUCAAACGCAUUAUUAAGUGGGCCGUUCAUUAUAAGCCAUCUAAAGAGCUAGGAAACAAGCCGUGAGCAACAUUGUUAAAAUAAGGUUACUUCAAAUGGUCCAAAUGUUAUCGAUCCAUCAUCUCCCUUUCUGAAGUAUUCACAACUAUCAUAAUUAUUUAUGAUGAAACCAUGAGUAGUCAUGAAUGAAUCGAACAUUUGUACCACUGCCUUGGUGACUACUUUAAUUUAUACAAGGACUUCUUUAACAAUUACACAUAGUAUUCCUUUCCAAAAAUUAUGAAAACCUUUGGUUGUUGUAUGUAGAUGAUCUCAUCAAGUUCUCCAUCCAAAAAUGCUGUCUUGACAUCCGUCUAUUUAAGUUCCAAGUCAUUCUUUGACACUAUCCCAAGUAAAUUUCAAAUUGAAUUGUGUUUUACAAUUGGGAAGAACACAUUUGUGAUGUCAACACCUAGAAUCUAACAGUAGCCCUUUAUUAUCAAUCUAGCCUUAUACCUAGCAUUUUCAGUCCUUAAUGUCCAUUCUUUCCUUUUGAACACCAAAUUGCUGCAAACAACCCUUUUAUCCUUUGUUAAUUUCACCAAGUCCCAAGUACAAUUUUUAUUUAAUGACUUCAUCUCUUUCUACAAUUGAUUGCCUCUGUAUAUGUAGACUGCUUCCCCAUUCUUUUGUGGAGGUUUAAUCUGUCUGUGAGGUCUAUCCUUAGCAAUAGAAUAUUGUGGUACUGCUGGAAAUGUAGGCAAAGUAUUUCUAUCUAUCAAUUCUAAACUAGUCUGUUCUGAAAUAGGACUAUUAUUUAACAUUUGAUUGUUUCCUUAACCAAUUUUCAACUCCAUUUGAGUUAAUUGAUUUUGUUUUUCUAGAUUAUUAGAAUUUCCACGAAAUACUACAUCUCUACUAAUUUUUGCCUUUCUUAUCUUAGAACGCCACAAUUUAUAUCUCUUUACACUUGAUUUGUAUCCAAGAAAGACACACUUUCUAGACCUAGGCUCCAACUUCCUAUUAUAUAGAUGAGCAUAAGUAGGGUACACAAAAAUCUUCAAAUCAGUAUAAUAUGAAGGUUUACCAGACCAUACCUCUUCAGGUGUCUUUUUCCCAAUGGCAGUUGAGGAUGAGCGAUUGAUCAGAAAACAAGCUGUAGCGCAGCUUUAGCCUAAAAAUUCUUAGGCAACCCAGAAUUUAAAAGCAAACACCAAACCUUUUCCAUCAAGGUUUUAUUGAUUCCUUCUGCCACACCAUUUUGUUGAGGAGUUCUGGGCACUGUCAAGCGUCAAGAUUCCUUCAGAGCUCCAGAAGCUAUUGAAUUCAUAUGAACAAAACUCCAAACUAGUAUCUGUGCGUAGACGUUUAACCUAAUUUUUAGUCUGCUUUUCAAUCAUUGUUUUCUACUUUAUGAAGGUCCAAACAUAUAACUCUUCUAUUUUAAGAAGAAUACUCAAAUAUUUCGGGAGAAAUCAUCAAUUAUUGCCAACAAGUAAUAAGCAUCUCCUCUUGAAAGUACCCUAGCCGACCCCUAGAGAUCUGAAUGGAUAUAUUCAAGUACUUCCUUCGUGUUGUGUCUACUUGUAGUGAAUUUGACUCUUUUCUAUUUUCCAAAGGCACAAUGCUCAUAGAAUUUCAUCUUAUUGGUCUUCUGUCCUAUUUUACUCAAUUUUGCCAUGUCAUUCUCUCUCUAUGCCCAAGUCACAUAUGCUAAAGUUUAGUAACUUCUUCAUCAGUCAAAUAAAAAGUAGAGACUACUACAUCCCGUGUAACUAUGGAACCCUGCAAAAUGUACAGCUCUGCAGAGUUAUUCUGUCACGUCAUGACAACAAAAGUGCUCCGUCGCCUUCGAAACUCCACCUUCGCCAGUAUACUUAUGACCUUUUGAGUCAAGUGAACUUAAAGAUAUGAGAUUUCACUUAAAUUAUGGAACACCAUCAAACAUUCUAAUUCUGACUAUACUAACUCCAACGUUUUUACACGGCACGUUGUUUCCCAAUAUUACUACACCUCUCGAAACUUUUUUCAUAUGUUGUAAACCAGUCUCUGUUGGGACACAUGAAAGUACAAGCCAACUCAAAAACCCACUCCUCACAAGAUUUGGAAUCCAUGUCAGAUAUCACAAGAGGCUCUAUUUUAGUUUGCGCAUUUUCCACAACAUCAACCUCUGUUGAGCUAAUAGGUUACUUUCUUCUAUCAAUAGCACUAGUAACCUUAUUCAUAUUUUUCAAUGAAUAGCAAUAAGCCCUAAUAUGUCCCUUCUUCUUAUAGUAUUAACACACAUUUCCUGUAUGUUUGAAUUUUGAUAUGCCCCUCAUAAUCCUACCAAAAUUCUUGUUUUGAUUUCUUCCACGAACACCAUGGCCUUUCGCCUGAUUCUUAGGUCCUUCCAGCAAGAUGCCUUAUCUUGGCCUCUUCCAAAAUGAAAGUAUCCCCACUAUAUAGAACAUUAUCUCCAAAAGUCACACAUGAUGGCAAGAGAGAGCACAACAACAUCAACGCCAAGUCCUUCUCAUCAUACUUAGCCUUCAGUGUGUCCAAAUCAACCAUGAUUUCUUUGAAUAUGGUUAAGUGAUCAUCCAAUGACACACUUUCGGACAACCAGUGAGAAUAUAAGUGCUAUUUCAAAUGUAACUUGCUGGUCAAGCUCUUUGUCAUACAAAGUUGCUAUAUAUAUAUAACUCUGAAAACCAAUUUGUAGAUGAAUAGAAAUCCAAAAUGCGUUAAAAUGUGAAAAAUCGAGAAGCAUCGUUGCUCAAGCAGCAUCAAGCAAUAGGGGGCGAGAAGCGGAUGACAAUUCUUUAUUCCAGAUUUGUCGGUUUCGCUCGAGCGAGUAGGUGGCGAAAAACUAGCGAAAAUUCGGCAACAAAUUUCUCGGUCCAUUAAUUUGAUCUACCCAGGACCACUUCGAAUACAACUCCAAUAGAAUUUGGGUCACACUACAACAUAUCUUUAUUCCGAUUUUCCUUUGAUAUGACAUUUUUUAUUCCUUAAAUCCCUUCCAAGACAACUUCAGUUGUGAGACGGAAAGUUUGCUACAGAUUUUGGAAAAAAUGAAACAGUAGAAUUUUUUUCUGUCUCUCAUUUCUUUCAUGUCUUACACUUAUGCUCCCCUUGUUGGUUAAACAACCUGUCUAACCAAUUUUUAGCAGUCAUGCAAGUAUUUUGUUUAAUCACUUAAAUCUAAAUCUACAUUUUAAUUGUGCAUUUCCCUCUUCGUUUUUUGUCUGCUCAACUUACUAAUUGUCAUCUAUAUAUCCUUGUAGUCACUUCUAGCCAAAAUUCACCUUGAAUAAUGCACAUUAGUUGUCUAGUCUUAUCAUACAAGCUUUCAGAUAAGUGAAUUAAGCAAUAUUAAUUAAGCACACAAAACAUGCCUAAUGGGCUAAUUCACGAUAAUUAAAUGUGACGUGUCUAAGCAAGAAUGAUAUGAAAAGUUCUGAUUAGCCUAAUGAAAAUUUCACAGCUUAGGAACAACACUUGCAUUUUUUCGUGAUCUGUUGUCCUGGGUAUACAUCGUCUCCCUCCCUUUCUUAGCAGUCACAUCCAACACGUUAUCUCUUUAUCUAGAUACCCCAAUUACUUUUCUAAUCUAACUUUUCUUUUUCAGGAGUUUUUUUGUUUUUAGAAUACAUACUUGAAGUAAUUUUACCUAAUUUUAUAAUAGCUGUUGAGCAAUCAUUGAGAAAGUUCAUGCUUCCUAUUCUAUUGGUGAGGUACGUAAGCUCCUUAAUACAUUGUUUCAUUAUCUUCGUGUUAUUGUACUUUGUUUAGUCCUUAAAAUUGACAUGAGGUGAGCAAUGUUUUUCUGGUUCAUCUUUACAAGGAUCCUAAUACUGGGAAGAUAAAAUUUCCAACUACUGGUACAACUGCAGAAGUACAAACUAGAAUUCUUCUCCCCAGUUCUUUUUUUUUUUUCAUCCCUUCAUAAUUGAAUUAUAUGCCAUGAAUUUAGGUUACAUGUAAAGCAUAGCUAUUUUAUGUUUGCUUGUUUUAUUUGUUUGAAUAUAACUAAGAUUCCAUGACAUUGUGAAUGGAAAAGUACAAAUCUGUAUGUAGUUCUAAUUCUUACUUUAGAGAGAGUGACAUGCCAAUAUCUGCAUCCACACAAAUUCUUUUUCUUCUUUAAAAUAGAUUGCAAAUAUUAAUUUUAUGUUUCUUUUAGAAAUUAGUUUCAUGGAGUAUGCAACAUUUCAUAGCCGAAGCUUAGUUCUUUUGAAUAUUUGUUAUUUUUGUUAUGUUUUUAGUGCAUACUUUCAAAUCCAUACCAAGAGAAUGAAUAUAUGUCAAAUUGGGUCGAAUGGGAAAUUAUGUAAAUUAUCAAAAUUUUUGAUAUCAUCUAUUAUCUAUCACCUUGCAUGCUUUGGGGUAUUUGUAAAUUCACACAAGCACAUUGCCUUUUUAAUAUAUUGAAGGAGGAAGAUUGAUGUUAUGUUUGUCAUUUAAAUAAAUUUAGCUUUACUUGCUAGCAGUUGUUAUGAUAAAUUAAGACGGCAUGAUGCUUUACGUUAGUUUGAUUGUGUUGAAGAAUGUUGACGAGGAAGAAAAACUUGAUUAUUUUUUAAAUGAAUGGCAUGCUCAUUUGAACCUGUAUCCCUGGAACUUGAUACAGUAUGUUCCUUUGAAAUAUUCUUUUGGAACUUGUAUGUUUCAAAUUGCUCCUAUACUAUUUUCCUGAUCUGAUAGUCAUAAUCCAAUAUUUUCAUUAUUUUUUGAUUCCUUGAAAUGCACAAAAAAUAUGCAACAUGUCUAGAGUGAGUGAGUCCAACAUCCCAUAAUGAGUAACAUUGUUUUGCAAAUGCAAUAAUUAAAAUCACGAUUAACGACAUAGAUAAGCAAUGGAAAUAUUCUAAAUUCAGAAGGGACUUGGGUUUUGAUCCUGAAAAGCCCAUUGAAUGUGAUGAGAAGGACAACAUUUGCUGGAGAUAUUGCAGGGAGCGAGACUUUACAAUAAAUGGGUAGUGGAUAAGCCUAGCUAAAUUUUUUAAUAUUAUCUAACACUAGUGCUUUCUUUCACCUAUUGUUCUCAUUUCUUCUUAUUAUUAGCACUAAUGCACUGUACUACUUUUAUUAUUACUACUAUUGUUAUUAUCAUCAAUGAUGUUGUCAUUUCUUCUUCUUUAUUUCUGUUAUUCUUAUUAACUUUUUCAUUGUGGGGUUUGAAAAUCGAUUCUUUGGGUCAUUUUAUAUGUUUAAUUGAUUAAUAAUUUUUUCAAUUACAAAUUGAUGUUUAACCCAUAUGCGAAAUUAGUGUACGAAUACCUGGGCAGAGUUGAUUAUUUUAGGAAAGCUGAAGUGUGCAUGUAUCUGAAAAUGGAACUUUUAUUUUCGUCGAACCUUUUUCUAGAAUGUUAUUACAUCUAUUUUUCUGUUGCAGUUGAGAACCAUUAAACCUGCCAACAUCUAUUUCACAAAGGAUUGUGGUGAGAUCUCUUUGUACUUUCUCUAACUUCUGCUUAUACUUCGGGUUGGAUGAUUCUUGUGCUUAUUGUGAAGCACUUGGAUAUGUUUUAUCUAUUGACUUUUGUUAUGUAAAUCCGUUUAUUUUAAGUGAGCAUGGUCUCACACUGAUAUUGAUUUCUUUAUUAUAUCUUCCAUUUUAGUGGUGACCAAACUAUUUGUGCUACUUCCAUGUAUUAGGGAGGCUUCUCAUGGAAAUAAAUUACAUAAUGGCAUAUGGUUAUGCAGAAGCUUCAUUGAGAAUAUUAUGGAGAAUAGGUCUCUUGGAAAUACUUCUAUCAAUUCAGGUAUAUUUCAAUGUUGGUUGGAUUUUAAUGAACUUGGGACAAAUUACUAUACUGGAACACCUUUGAUUAAAUUAUUUGUUAAUAUUUCAGGAUUUGAAUUUCUUAUUAGGGCAAACUAAUAACAACCAUUCUACACGUACACUUUUUUCACACCUUUUUUCAUAGCACACACACGUGCAAGUGGGUGGGGUCCACGAUUAAAAUAAUAGUGUGAAAAUUGAUGUAAAAAAAAAGGUGAUGUACAAAUAGCAUUUUUGAACUAAUAAAUACAACUCUAAAAUCUAACCAACAAUUUUGUUUUUUGAAGGUACAAUGAUGAUGAUCCUAUAUCUAGAUAUGAUCAAUCAUAUACGGUAGAUAAUGUGUUGAAUUACCAUCCCGAUAAAGCUACAAAGAUGGGAGUUGGAUAUUAAAAUAUAUCAUGGUAUGUUACUUUGUUCUCCAUUAAUAUGUUAAAUAUCUUUUAUCAUAUAUCUUUAUGUAUGUUUCAUGGAUUGCAAUUACUAAUUCACAUAAUCUUUCUUCUCGAGCAAUAUAAGCUUAUAACGUUAAGAUACUUUUGAAAUCAAAAUAGAUUAACUAUAUAUGUGCUCAUAUAUCAUUUCAAAUGAAAAUUUGAUCCUAAAUCUAUUUUGAAAUGUUCUUUUUGAUUUCUUGUACCCUUUAUUGCGGACUAAGAUAUUCACUUCAUGAGGCAUUUUUAUUUUUUUGGCUUCAAGUAUCAUAUUAAUCCCAUUCAUAAGUCUUAUAAUGACUAUUGGGGUAUCUGGAAUAAUUUUGGAUCAUUCGCUGAUACUCUUUUCUUAUACAUGUUAUUGCAUUUUUUUAGGGGCACCCUAGAGCAUUCCAACCUGUACUUGCUUGUGAUAUUUAUACAUUAUCAUUGAAUUGAUAACUUCUUGUUUCGUCGUCUUACUUUGCUUAUGCACUGCUGUUUAAAUUUAUGGCCUCCAGUUGGAAUAGCCAGUAGCCUUUUAGGGGGAGCACCAUAUGACUUCCUUGCACAAAUGUUUGCCUCUUUUCAGGCAGUCAGGGAAAGGAAUAGGGAUAAACGUUAUCACUAAUUUAUGUAUGUGUAAAUUGUAUUUAGGCUUAGCAUAUAUUUUCACCUUUUUAUUAACUUCAAGACACUAAUUAGUUUGAUCUUGUUUGAUCAUGCUUGCAGGAUGGAACUUGGGAUACAUUCAAAGGGAUUUGAGCUUCAAAUCUUAUUUAUUUGCCUAUUGUAAUUAAGGAUUGGCAGUCGGUAAUUGACAUGAAAAAAAAUGGAACUUUGGACUUUCAUAAAGGUACAUUUACAAAUAAGAUAAAUUUAAUUUCUUUUAUCAUGUAUUUUUUUCUAAUGACAUCAUUUCUUAUAUUUGUGCACAAAAUAUAGCAAAUGUUUAAUGUUAGUGAUUUUCAUAAAAAAAUGACACUUCAAUGUAUAGGAA